UUGGUGACCAGCGGAGGGAUCAUUACCGAGUUUACAACUCCCAAACCCAAUGUGAACCAUACCAAACUGUUGCCUCGGCGGGGUCACGCCCCGGGUGCGUCGCAGCCCCGGAACCAGGCGCCCGCCGGAGGGACCAACCAAACUCUUUCUGUAGUCCCCUCGCGGACGUUAUUUCUUACAGCUCUGAGCAAAAAUUCAAAAUGAAUCAAAACUUUCAACAACGGAUCUCUUGGUUCUGGCAUCGAUGAAGAACGCAGCGAAAUGCGAUAAGUAAUGUGAAUUGCAGAAUUCAGUGAAUCAUCGAAUCUUUGAACGCACAUUGCGCCCGCCAGUAUUCUGGCGGGCAUGCCUGUCCGAGCGUCAUUUCAACCCUCGAACCCCUCCGGGGGGUCGGCGUUGGGGAUCGGGAACCCCUAAGACGGGAUCCCGGCCCCGAAAUACAGUGGCGGUCUCGCCGCAGCCUCUCCUGCGCAGUAGUUUGCACAACUCGCACCGGGAGCGCGGCGCGUCCACGUCCGUAAAACACCCAACUUCUGAAAUGUUGACCUCGGAUCAGGUAGGAAUACCCGCUGAACUUAAGCAUAUCAAUAAG
rnacentral:rRNA from 1 species